GGUCAAGGUCGAGAGUUGGUCUGUUGACCCGGGGCCCACAUGUCAGCGUGUGGGGGUAGGUCGGGGUUGAGUGAGAAAAGUCCAGGGAGGGGGUUUUCGGGAUAAUGUUGGAUUUAGAUUUAGAAAAAUAGAUUUAAAUUCCUAUUUUCGUAUUUAAUUCAUUAUAAUUUAUAGAAUUUUCCAAAUUUAGUGAAACCAAUUUUAUUAGGUGUAUUUUAUUUUCCUUUAUCCAUUAAAAAUUAUUAAACCCUAGGAUAAACUAAUAAAAGUUUAAGUAUUUAUUAAUGCCUUUGAUUAAGGUAUUUAAAUAAGUACUUAAUCUUUAUGAAAUGAAUAAAAUUCUAAAUAAUGUUUUAUUAUUCACAAAUAUUCAUUAAUCCAUAGGAUUUAAGUUUUUCAGAUUAGAAA
rnacentral:lncRNA from 1 species